GGUCCCUUUCGGAACAUCCAUAAAAUUGGAACGAUACUGAGAAGAUUAACAUGGUCUCUGCAUAGGGAUGACAUGCAGUGGUGGAGCCACAUACAAUU
rfam:Capsicum annuum cultivar Zunla-1 chromosome 1, whole genome shotgun sequence